AUGGCGUCCAGGGCAUUCCCAGCUCUGGUCCUUCUCGUGCUCAUCUGCGGCCAGCUCGUGGUCGGCGGCCAUGCCCAGCCCUACAUCGGCGGCACCAGGGGAGGAGGAGGAUCUGCCGCCGGACUGCGGCCACCGACUUCCACCGCCACCCAUGGCCACUCCUCCACCAUUGCCAUGGGAGAAGACAAGUCCUUCAUGAUCAACACCCUGCCGGCGCACGACCACCCGCUUCCUGUCCCGCCGUCCGGGGAUCGAAGAGGGCUGGUCGGCCAGGGCACUCAUCAGUCCGACGCACUCCUCAACCAGAACACCUGCGGGUAUGAGUCCGCCGUAGCCGCCUGCCACCAAUUCAUCUUCAUUGUUGAACUACUGCAUCUACCUUGCCCGGUCUAG
rnacentral:rRNA from 1 species